rnacentral:rRNA from 1 species
GAUGAACGCUGGCGGCGUGCCUAAUACAUGCAAGUCGAGCGAACGGACGAGAAGCUUGCUUCUCUGAUGUUAGCGGCGGACGGGUGAGUAACACGUGGAUAACCUACCUAUAAGACUGGGAUAACUUCGGGAAACCGGAGCUAAUACCGGAUAAUAUUUUGAACCGCAUGGUUCAAAAGUGAAAGACGGUCUUGCUGUCACUUAUAGAUGGAUCCGCGCUGCAUUAGCUAGUUGGUAAGGUAACGGCUUACCAAGGCAACGAUGCAUAGCCGACCUGAGAGGGUGAUCGGCCACACUGGAACUGAGACACGGUCCAGACUCCUACGGGAGACAGCAGUAGGGAAUCUUCCGCAAUGGGCGAAAGCCUGACGGAGCAACGCAGCGUGAGUGAUGAAGGUCUUCGGAUCGUAAAACUCUGUUAUUAGGGAAGAACAUAUGUGUAAGUAACUGUGCACAUCUUGACGGUACCUAAUCAGAAAGCCACGGCUAACUACGUG